rnacentral:rRNA from 1 species
UACGAAGGGGGCUAGCGUUGCUCGGAAUCACUGGGCGUAAAGGGUGCGUAGGCGGGUCUUUUAAGUCAGGGGUGAAAUCCUGGAGCUCAACUCCAGAACUGCCUUUGAUACUGAAGAUCUUGAGUUCGGGAGAGGUGAGUGGAACUGCGAGUGUAGAGGUGAAAUUCGUAGAUAUUCGCAAGAACACCAGUGGCGAAGGCGGACUCACUGGCCCGAUACUGACGCUGAGGCACGGAAAGCGUGGG